GCGCCCGUAGCUCAGCUGGAUAGAGCGACAGCCUNNGUCGGGCGUUCGAAUCGCCCCGGGCGCA
rnacentral:tRNA from 1 species